rnacentral:rRNA from 1 species
AGUCGAACGGUAACAGGAAGCAGCUUGCUGCUUCGCUGACGAGUGGCGGACGGGUGAGUAAUGUCUGGGAAACUGCCCGAUGGAGGGGGAUAACUACUGGAAACGGUAGCUAAUACCGCAUAACGUCGCAAGACCAAAGAGGGGGACCUUCGGGCCUCUUGCCAUCGGAUGUGCCCAGAUGGGAUUAGCUAGUAGGUGGGGUAACGGCUCACCUAGGCGACGAUCCCUAGCUGGUCUGAGAGGAUGACCAGCCACACUGGAACUGAGACACGGUCCAGACUCCUACGGGAGGCAGCAGUGGGGAAUAUUGCACAAUGGGCGCAAGCCUGAUGCAGCCAUGCCGCGUGUAUAAAAGGCUUCGGGUUGUAAAGUACUUUCAGCGGGGAGGAAGGCGAUGAGGUUAAUAACCUCGUCGAUUGACGUUACCCGCAGAAGAAGCACCGGCUAACUCCGUGCCAGCAGCCGCGGUAAUACGGAGGGUGCAAGCGUUAAUCGGAAUUACUGGGCGUAAAGCGCACGCAGGCGGUCUGUCAAGUCGGAUGUGAAAUCCCCGGGCUCAACCUGGGAACUGCAUUCGAAACUGGCAGGCUUGAGUCUCGUAGAGGGGGGUAGAAUUCCAGGUGUAGCGGUGAAAUGCGUAGAGAUCUGGAGGAGUACCGGUGGCGAAAGCGGCCCCCUGGACGAAGACUGACGCUCAGGUGCGAAAGCGUGGGGAGCAAACAGGAUUAGAUACUCUGGUAGUCCACCCGUAAACGAUGUCUACUUGGAGGCUGUUCCCUUGAGGAGUGGCUUCCCGAGCUAACGCGUUAAGUAGACCGCCUGGGGAGUACGCCCCAGGUAAAACUCAAUGAAUUGACGGGG